AGUCUCGGGGUGUUACAUGUUAGAUUGCAAAUCUAAAGAAGUAGACUAGACGUCUGCCGGGGCUU
rnacentral:tRNA from 1 species